CCCGAGUUGGUGUAGUGGUAACACAUCCAUUGAGAACGGGUAGGUGUUGAACCUACUUGCUCUUCGGGGGGUGAAGGACCCAGGUUCAAGUCCUGGACUUGGGG
rfam:Fusarium graminearum chromosome 1, complete genome